GUGAGGAAUAUUGGUCAAUGGGCGCAAGCCUGAUGCAGCAACGCCGCGUGAAGGAAGACGGUUUUCGGAUUGUAAACUUCUGUUCUUAGUGAAGAAGAAUGACGGUAGCUAAGGAGCAAGCCACGGCUAACUACGUGCCAGCAGCCGCGGUAAUACGUAGGUGGCAAGCGUUGUCCGGAAUUACUGGGUGUAAAGGGAGCGCAGGCGGGGGAACAAGUCAGUUGUGAAAUCCAUGGGCUUAACCCGUGAACUGCAGUUGAAACUGUUCUUCUUGAGUGAAGUAGAGGUUGGCGGAAUUCCGAGUGUAGCGGUGAAAUGCGUAGAUAUUCGGAGGAACACCGGUGGCGAAGGCGGCCAACUGGGCUUUUACUGACGCUGAGGCUCGAAAGUGUGGGGAGCAAACAGG
rnacentral:rRNA from 1 species